rnacentral:rRNA from 1 species
CCUACGGGAGGCAGCAGUGAGGAAUAUUGGUCAAUGGACGCAAGUCUGAACCAGCCAUGCCGCGUGCAGGAAGACGGUUCUAUGAGUUGUAAACUGCUUUUGUACGAGGGUAAACGCAGAUACGCGUAUCUGUCUGAAAGUAUCGUACGAAUAAGGAUCGGCUAACUCCGUGCCAGCAGCCGCGGUAAUACGGAGGAUUCAAGCGUUAUCCGGAUUUAUUGGGUUUAAAGGGUGCGUAGGCGGUCGGAUAAGUUAGCGGUGAAAUCCCGAGGCUCAACUUCGGAAUUGCCUCUGAUACUGUUAGGCUAGAGAGUAGUUGCGGUAGGCGGAAUGUAUGGUGUAGCGGUGAAAUGCUUAGAGAUCAUACAGAACACCGAUUGCGAAGGCAGCUUACCAGGCUACUACUGACGUUGAGGCACGAAAGCGUGGGGAGCAAACAGGAUUAGAUACCCCAGUAGUC